UACGUAGGGGGCAAGCGUUGUCCGGAAUCAUUGGGCGUAAAGCGCGUGUAGGCGGCCAUGUAAGUCCGUUCUGAAAGCCCGGGGCUCAACCCCGGGAGGCGGAUGGAUACUGCAUGGCUCGAGUACGGAAGAGGCGAGUGGAAUUCCCGGUGUAGCGGUGAAAUGCGCAGAUAUCGGGAGGAACACCAAUGGCGAAGGCAGCUCGCUGGGACGUUACUGACGCUGAGGCGCGAAAGCGUGGGGAGCAAACAGG
rnacentral:rRNA from 1 species